CAACCCUCGAACCCCUCCGGGGGGUCGGCGUUGGGGAUCGGCCCUCCCUCGCGGGGGCCGGCCCCGAAAUGCAGUGGCGGUCUCGCCGCAGCCUCUCAUGCGCAGUAGUUUGCACACUCGCACCGGGAGCGCGGCGCGUCCAAUGCCGUAAAACACCCAACUUUCUGAAA
rnacentral:misc_RNA from 1 species